AACGAACGCUGGCGGCAUGCCUAACACAUGCAAGUCGAACGAGACCUUCGGGUCUAGUGGCGCACGGGUGCGUAACGCGUGGGAACCUGCCCUUAGGUUCGGAAUAACUCCCCGAAAGGGGUGCUAAUACCGGAUAAUGUCUUCGGACCAAAGAUUUAUCGCCUUUGGAUGGGCCCGCGUUGGAUUAGCUAGUUGGUAGGGUAAAAGCCUACCAAGGCGACGAUCCAUAGCUGGUCUGAGAGGAUGAUCAGCCACACUGGGACUGAGACACGGCCCAGACUCCUACGGGAGGCAGCAGUGGGGAAUAUUGGACAAUGGGCGAAAGCCUGAUCCAGCAAUGCAGCGUGAGUGAUGAAGGCCUUAGGGUUGUAAAGCUCUUUUACCCGGGAUGAUAAUGACAGUACCGGGAGAAUAAGCUCCGGCUAACUCCGUG
rnacentral:rRNA from 1 species